UACAGAGGUCUCAAGCGUUGUUCGGAUUCAUUGGGCGUAAAGGGUGCGUAGGUGGCGCCGUAAGUCGGGUGUGAAAUUUCGGAGCUUAACUCCGAAACUGCAUUCGAUACUGCGGUGCUUGAGGACUGGAGAGGAGACUGGAAUUCAUGGUGUAGCAGUGAAAUGCGUAGAGAUCAUGAGGAAGACCAGUGGCGAAGGCAGCUCGCUGGGACGGUACUGACGCUAAGGCGCGAAAGCGUGGGGAGCGAACAGG
rnacentral:rRNA from 1 species